rnacentral:rRNA from 1 species
AGCGAACGCUGGCGGCAGGCCUAACACAUGCAAGUCGAACGCCCCUUCGGGGGAGUGGCGGACGGGUGAGUAACACGUGGGAACGUGCCCUUUGGUACGGAACAACUGAGGGAAACUUCAGCUAAUACCGUAUGUGCCCCCAUUCUUAGCGGGAUGGGUGGGAAAGAUUUAUCGCCAUUGGAGCGGCCCGCGUUGGAUUAGCUAGUUGGUGGGGUAAAGGCCCACCAAGGCAACGAUCCAUAGCUGGUCUGAGAGGAUGAUCAGCCACACUGGGACUGAGACACGGCCCAGACUCCUACGGGAGGCAGCAGUGGGGAAUCUUGCGCAAUGGGCGAAAGCCUGACGCAGCCAUGCCGCGUGUAUGAUGAAGGUCUUAGGAUUGUAAAAUACUUUCACCGGGGAAGAUAAUGACGG